rnacentral:rRNA from 1 species
UCCGCAGGCGGGCAGGAAAGUCAGAGGUGAAAGACUUCGGCUCAACCGAAGAAUUGCCUUUGAUACUUCUUGUCUUGAAUCCGAGAGAGGAUAGUGGAAUUCAUGGUGUAGCGGUGAAAUGCGUAGAGAUCAUGAAGAACACCAGUAGCGAAGGCGGCUAUCUGGCUCGGUAUUGACGCUCAGGGACGAAAGCGUGGGUAGCAAACAGGAUUAGAUACCCUGGUAGUCCACGCCUUAAACGAUGGAUGUUCGGUGUCGGGCCGCAAGGUUCGGUGCCUGAGCUAACGCGUUAAACAUCCCACCUGGGGAGUACGAUCGCAAGGUUGAA